CCAAACUGCCUCUCAACCUCUCAAAGUGGGAGAAUUAACACUGGAACACACAGUCUUAAAGCUGCUUCUGCUUCGACUGCCUCUAAAAUCCCAGGAACUUAGAGAGUGCUAGCUGCAGGGGACUCCAGGCAAUGCAGUUUUUAGUCUUCCAGACUCUCCUGUAUGGGAAGACCCUCCGGAAGGAUGUAGCCAGCCAGUCAGCCCCACCCACCACCGGCCGGUCCCAGGAUCCCUGGAGGAGAAAUGACUUCCUUUCCAUGUUCCAUGAAGUGACUUUGUCACAAGCAACUCUUGCCAGCCCUCCUCCCCAUCUCCAAUGCCCCCAGGGCUCACAGGACCAAGGUCCCCCAUGGCCUGUCUAUCCCUGGUGUACCAGGCGCCAUCACUGUGUGAACUUGUAUUUGAGCGUGGUGUGUAUGGGGGACUUGUC